GAUUUUUCUAUGAAUCGGCAACAAAGCAUGAAAUGUGGUAUUUUCACCAUGAGUAACUUGGAAAUUAGUCACCUCUGUCUGUGAAGCUCUGCUGGCUGGAGACCCCCACACCUUCCUUCCACCUCAAGCUACACUGGAAUUUCAGGACGCUACCCCCUCAGCUUUCGCCUUUCUUGGGAGUGGGGCCAAUGAACCUACCAAGGAGGCUGCCAAGCUCACCAACCUAGGCUAGGGACAGAAGAUUUGAGACCAAGGAGCCACAGCUGGUUACCAGAAAGGGAAACGGAUAUGAGUC
rnacentral:lncRNA from 1 species